UACGGGGGGGGGCAAGCGUUGUUCGGAAUUACUGGGCGUAAAGGGCUCGUAGGCGGCCAACUAAGUCAGACGUGAAAUCCCCCAGGCUCAACCUGGGAACUGCGUCUGAUACUGGAUGGCUUGAAUCCGGGAGAGGGAUGCAGAAUUCCAGGUGUAGCGGUGAAAUGCGCAGAUAUCAGGAAGAACACCCGUGGCGAAAGCGGCUCUCUGGAACGGUACUGACGCUAGAGCGAAAGCGUGGG
rnacentral:rRNA from 1 species